GAUGUGCACCCUAUCCAGAAAGUUCACAUAAGAAACCUCUGAAAGGAAGAGUGUGGUAUGAAUGUAGUUCAACUUUGAUAGAAGACUGUCAAUUUUCUGCAGGAUUGGAUAACAAAGGCCAAAAUUUAGGUCAACAAUUGCUCAAAGACAGUAAGGUUUGGAAGCCAUUUUGAACUUUGAAUAUCUACCUGAUCCAUGGUAUCAGCCUCUUCUGGAUUGAAGUAUUUGGCAACCUCUAAGCAGAAGAGUGUCCUUCCUUCAGAUUUGAACUGGCUUGCUUGAACUGGAUCUUUAGGACUGAAAGUAGAUCUCCAGUUAUUUAGCAGACCAUCUCUGUUUAUUAUCACCAACCCUUCAACAUAGUCGAAAGAAUCCUCGGAUGAUAUCAGGUGUUCUUGGUCACUGAUAAAUGUGGGAAAAUCUGAAUACAGCACUCUGAUCCACUUAACCUGCCAUAACUUAACCUUUGCAGUUAAUGGAAAUUUCAAAAUCAUUAAGUUACCAUCUUGGGUGCUGGUUCAAGAGCAAUCCUUGCUCGGGUGAUGAUACCAAAUUGUCCUAGACCUCCAAGUACACCAUUAAACAGGAGCCUGGGGACUGUAUAUGAGCAGAGCAUAGUAAAAAAGUGUACAUGGAUGUGAAAGUUUGAACGGGUGAAACAUAAGAAAAGCAGAACCUGCCAACACAAUUUCAUCUCAAGAUUUUUGGAUCCCAGAACUGAGACAACAUAUUGAUUUUCUAAUUAAUAAAUCUAAGAGCUGCUUUAUUGUUCUUCUCCAAACAAGCUUGCAGUAGGUGACAUUCUUGUGUCAGCCUACUCUCUGAGUCACAAGUUUCGAAGUCACUCCUGAUUUAUCAUACCCACUUUUGGCAAAUGGCAAUUAACUUUUCCAUUUUCAGAACUUGAAAUCUCAGUCAUCAUGCAAGUUGUCAUGAUAAACAUAAUCCACACCUCGUUUUUAGUAUCUUGUUCAUUUAUUUCAUUAUUGUGAGAUGAACUGUGAUAUAUCGUAUAUGCAUAUUGCAGAAAUACUGUGUGGAUAUCAUUACAUUUUUUAUUUAUUGGAUGAGUAUAAUUUCCAGUUUUUUAAUUUGACUGCACACAGGCUAUAUACUGUUAGCAGAAUACUAGUAUCUACUAAUAGCAAUAUAAAUGAACUUUCUCUAGGACAGCAUAAUGCGGUUUGUUUAUCCCUGCUAGAGUUGCCUUAGAGAUCAUUGAACCCCACAUUCAGAAUUCCUUGAGACAUUCACACUAACGUUGUUCUACUUUUGCAUAAUGCUAUGUUUGGUUCUGCCUUAGAGAUCUUUGAACCCCACAUGUAGAAUUCCUUGAGACAUUCAUACUAACUGGAUUUAUAUUUUAGUAUUUUCUUGUUCACUAAGAAGCAACAUGAUGAAAUUUUCAUUAUAAUAUUCUGUUAGUGGCUCAAAUAUCAGCACUUUGUAUAAAUAACAAAGGGAGAAAUGUAUUAUGACCUCUGCUGUCUAAAAGGAGACAACCCAGUUGAAAAGGUUGGAUAGGUAUGAUUAUUACUUUCUGCAGAACAAGACAAACUAUGCAAUAGGGUGAUCCUUUCUAUGCCAGUCUUUAUGAAAUUGUGGUGUGCAUAUUUUCACGUUGUUAAAAAUGAAAAGUUUGAGGGAUUGCUUAUUUUAAUUCUGCUAAUGAGCAAGGUUUUUUAUGAAAUGACAAAAUUUUUGUUGUAAUCUGUAAGAGUAGUUCUGGUUUAGAGAAGAUCAUAUCAAUCCUAGCUAGCUCUUAAUAUUAUUGGUGUAUUUAUUUCACUGCUUUUGGUUGGAUCCAUGGGCGUGAAGAGGCAGUGAAUGAGAGUGCUGGUGACUCAAUAGAUAUACAUUGAUUAUGAGCAUACUCUGUUUUACCAGCAAAUAAGUAUGUAGUCAAGUUUAACAUAUAUUCAGUAAAUAAUCAUAAUGAUAUCAUAUGAGCGUUUUGUUUGGAAAUUGCUGCACAGAUUAAAUUUGCUCCAAGUCCAGCCAUGUCAAACAGGACAUGACCAAAUUUGGUCUGCAAAAACGGUCCUUUUGGCCACUCGUUCUGUAACCCAUCUUAUUUACAUGCUAUUCCAAUCAUGUCUAUUUGUCCCUAGCUAUACUUUCAUACAAAAUAUGUAUUUCUUUUGCUCAUGGUUGUGUCGUCAAUAAUUUUUGCUUUAUUUUCUUUAUUGCUCAUGCCAGCAUAAAAACUCUUUUCUCAAAUUAUUUUGGGCACAGAGAAUGGGGUUGUUGUCAACCAGCAAACUCCAGAGUCGAGACUGUCAAAUAUUUUGACAACCCCACCACAAGCUAACCUAGGACUGUUGUUUUCCUCAUAAAGCUUUGGCCCAUAGUCUGAACUUAAGGUUUGGUAUGCAGACAUUUCUAUUAGAGGCCCCGGAAACAUGAUUUGCAUGGAUAAAGCAAAAAGGCUUUUGUGGAAUGGAGCAAUCAACUAGUCCGGAUGUAACUCUAUGAUCGGUGCAUCAAAAUUUGUAUGGGGCACACAGAUGUUAUAGCAGUGCAUGGGUGCUUGACCAGUUGAGCUCUAUGGUGCCCAAAGUAUAGCCUUAUAGGUACUUGGCCUUAUUAUUCCUGUGAAGAAUAUACUUGUGGUCAUUUUUACUUGGGGGUGUCACGUCACAUAAAAAAAUGGUUUAAAUGUCAUGUUUUUAGUAAUGUUGGAUACUAAAAAUAAUAAGCAUGCUAUAUUUUAUAAUGUGACAAAAUUACAAAUCGGC